UGGGGAAUCUUGGACAAUGGGGGCAACCCUGAUCCAGCCAUGCCGCGUGAGUGAUGAAGGCCUUAGGGUCGUAAAGCUCUUUCGCCUGUGAAGAUAAUGACGGUAGCAGGUAAAGAAACCCCGGCUAACUCCGUGCCAGCAGCCGCGGUAAUACGGAGGGGGUUAGCGUUGUUCGGAAUUACUGGGCGUAAAGCGCACGUAGGCGGACCAGAAAGUUGGGGGUGAAAUCCCGGGGGCUCAACCCCGGAACUGCCUCCAAAACUAUUGGUCUAGAGUUCGAGAGAGGUGAGUGGAAUUCCAAGUGUAGAGGUGAAAUUCGUAGAUAUUUGGAGGAACACCAGUGGCGAAGGCGGCUCACUGGCUCGAUACUGACGCUGAGGUGCGAAAGUGUGGGGAGCAAACAGGAUUAGAUACCCUGGUAGUCCACACCGUAAAACGAUGAAUGCCAGUCGUCGGGUAGCAUGCUAUUCGGUGACACACCUAACGGAUUAAGCAUUCCGCCUGGGGAGUACGGUCGCAAGAUUAAAACCUC
rnacentral:rRNA from 1 species